AAAGAGAGUUGGGAAAAGGCCGGAACGCAUUAAUGGGCCAUUUAAGAACUGCCUGCCUCCUAAACCUAUUUUCAGACUGUGAAGCAGGAAGGCAGUGAGGCAUGGUGUGGAAUUAUAACUCCACCUCCCACAAUCUCCAGGAUGCACCAAAGGACCUAACUGGACCAAACCUCCGAGUUCUUGACUACAGCAUUCCACAUGAAUGGGAUCAUAUAACAGUGUAUUAGAUGCAUUAUUGGGACUGCUGGCAAUAUGUCCGAAUAAAAACUGCACCAGUCUGCAGCUCCCAGUGAUAUUGAUGAAAAAGAACACAGAUUUAUUCUCCACUCCACGUGGCCACUGUCAGAGGAUAGAGGAGGUGUGGCAUCAGUGAUUCAAGACUGUAUUUUCUGCCAUCUUUCAGUGCCUCUUUCAGCAAUAUGGAGCUAAAGCCAUGUACCGUGAUUGCUCACCUGAUUUUUAGUUCCUAUGAAGAUGCUUUGUGUGUAAGUAUGUGCAGACAGAGUUAUUAAAUUGGUGUUCUUGCAGGGGGGACAAUCGGUGGAGCCUUCUAUUUGGCCAUCUUGUUCCACUCAUCUUGUUUUUAUUUCUUGUGGGUACAUACCUAGUAGUAAAAUUGAUGGACCAUAUGUAACUUUAUAUUAAAUAUUUGAGGAAGUGCCAGACUGUUUUUUAUAGUGGCUCUGCUAUUUUACAUUUCUUCCAGCAGUGUAUGUGUGCUCCAAACUUUCCACGUUGUUGACAACACUUAUUAUUGUUUUCUUUUUUUAUUAUUGUUUUCCCUUUUUUUAUUAUAGCCAUGUGCUAUAAAUAUGCUCAUUGACUAUGUUAAUUUUUUUGAUAAAUAUUUAUUUAAUUCCUUUGUCUAUUUAAAAAUACUGUGUUAUUUGGCUUUUUACUGUCAAGUGUUAAGAGGCUUUUAUGUAUUUUAUAUACAAAUUCCUUACCAAAAUUAUGCUUUCAAAACAUUUUCUCUCAUUCUUUGGGUUGUUUUUCACUUUUAUUAUGAUAUUUUUGAAGCAUAUAAACUUUUUAUUUCUGAUAAAGUCCAAUUUAUUAAUAGUUUGCUGUGUGUGCUUUGAAGUCAUACUGCAUUUUCACUAAAGGUCAUAAAGAUUUAUUCCUGUGUUGCUGU
rnacentral:lncRNA from 10 species